GAUGAACGCGGCGGCGUGCCUAACACAUGCAAGUCGAACGGAGUCCAGCCUUUAAGACCUUCGGGUCAAAGAGGGGAAGACUGAGUGGCGGACGGGUGAGUAACACGUGGGCAACCUGGCUCAUAGAGGGGGAUAACAGAGAGAAAUUUCUGCUAAUACCGCAUAAGCACACACUGCCGCAUGGCAGAGUGUGAAAAGAGAAUCGCUAUGAGAUGGACCCGCGUCUGAUUAGCCAGUUGGCAGGGUAAGAGCCUACCAAAGCGACGAUCAGUAGCCGAUCUGAGAGGAUGAACGGCCACAUUGGGACUGAGACACGGCCCAAACUCCUACGGGAGGCAGCAGUGGGGGAUAUUGCACAAUGGGGGGAACCCCUGAUGCAGCGACGCCGCGUGAGUGAAGAAGUAUUUCGGUAUGUAAAGCUCUAUCAGCAGGGA
rnacentral:rRNA from 1 species